GUAGUCUCUGGGCGCUAAAGUGGUGAAUGUGGGUAUCUGACAUGCGCACUGACAAUAGGGCCUGACUGAGAAUCUUCCACAUUCAAUUGCUCUCCGUCUCGUGCGUUUCCAAACUAAAACCCAGAUGGAUUCCAUCGCCAGAAAACUCGACGGUCACAGCUCGAGCUACGCUUCCAUCUCUGAACCAAGAGAAGCUCCGAUCAGGUUGCAGGAGUGGAGGGAAAGUAUUGAUGCUCAAAUCAGUUAUGGUGGUAAUGGGGCAAGCUUCAGAAACAAUCCAAAUCGGCCUGGGGGGAGAAUCUUCCAUGCAUACGAUUGGCUACUGGCUCCUUUGGAGGCAUAAACUCUGGUCUCAACCAUAAUGGGAUCACACCUGCACUGCUGCAGCAGCUGCAAGCCUUCUCUUCGAGCUUCAACUCGUUUCGAAGUUGAGUUCAGUUGAAUUAGAAAAUCAGGGUGAAGCAUUGGAAGAUAUUCUGCAAACACUAUUAGAAGCUCUCACCACUUGACCUAUUUGGAUGGGGCGGUCCAUGAAAUAUAAAGCAAGACAUGCAAGCAGCUUUUGCUAAUGGAGGACGCUCCAUGGAACCCCUGAGGUGAAAGUUUUCAAUUCUUAGGUAUUUAAAUCUCGUCCUUAUAGUUUUAGAAUUAUAUCAAAACAUCAAUGUUAUAGUUUGUUGACAUUUGACCAUACAUUAAUUUACUGGAGUUUAAAUGAACUAAAUUCCAAAGUACACCUGAAGAUGAAAGUUUGAAUCUCGGACUUCAAAGAAAUGAAUAGGUGCUUAACCGUGCAGGGGACAACGAAUUGGAUAUCCAUAAGUUCUGGACAUUUGUGAGUACCUUUCUGUAAGUGGAGGAUCUUGAUGUUGUUUAAUUGA